AUGACAAGGGCUUCGGUCAGAGAAUGGUGGAAUGGUAACCUUCAGAUCCGCCUCGGCUCGCCCAAGGCGCUUGCCUCCCUCACGAUGCUCAUCUCUUGGGAGGUUUGGUUGGAGCGCAAUGCUAGAGUCUUCCGCAACUCGGCGACCCCUUGCAUGGUCAUCAUCAGCAAAAUCAAGCAGGAGGUGUCGCUUUGGGCUUUGGCUGGAGCAAAACAUUUGGGUGUUGUAAUGCCGCGAGAGUAG
rnacentral:rRNA from 1 species